rnacentral:rRNA from 1 species
AGCAGCCGCGGUAAUUCCAGCUCCAAUAGCGUAUAUUAAAGUUGUUGCAGUUAAAAAGCUCGUAGUUGAAUUUCGGGGUUAGUAGGUUGGUCAUGCCUCUGGUAUGUACUGGUCUCACUGAUUCCUCCUUCCUGAUGAACCUUAAUGCCAUUAAUUUGGUGUUUUGGGGAAUUUGGACUGUUACUUUGAAAAAAUUAGAGUGUUUAAAGCAAGCUAACGCUUGAAUACAUUAGCAUGGAAUAAUGAAAUAGGACGUUCGAUCCUAUUUUGUUGGUUUCUAGGAUUGACGUAAUGAUUAAUAGGGAUAGUUGGGGGCAUUAGUAUUCAAUUGUCAGAGGUGAAAUUCUUGGAUUUAUUGAAGACUAACUACUGCGAAAGCAUUUGCCAAGGAUGUUUUCAUUAAUCAAGAACGAAAGUUAGGGGAUCGAAGACGAUCAGAUACCGUCGUAGUCUUAACCAUAAACUAUGCCGACUAGGGAUCGGAUGAUGUCAAUUUUUUAAUGACUCAUUCGGCGCCUUACG